UGGGGUGUAGCCAAGAGGAAAGGCAGCGGACUUUGGAUCCGCCACCGAUGGUUCGAAUCCAUCCACCCCAGCCA
rnacentral:tRNA from 3 species